AGCAGCCGCGGUAAUUCCAGCUCCAAUAGCGUAUAUUAAAGUUGUUGCAGUUAAAAAGCUCGUAGUUGAAUUUCGGGGUUAAUAAGUUGGUCGUGCCAAUGGUAUGUACUGGCUUUAUUGAUUCCUACCUCUUGAAGAACUGUGAUGCCAUUAAUUUGGUGUUGCAGGGAAUCAGGACUGUUACCUUGAAAAAAUUAGAGUGUUUAAAGCAGGCUUAAGCUUGAAUACAUUAGCAUGGAAUAAUGAAAUAGGACGUUUGAACCUAUUUUGUUGGUUUUUAGGAUCGACGUAAUGAUUAAUAGGGAUAGUUGGGGGCAUUAGUAUUCAAUUGUCAGAGGUGAAAUUCUUGGAUUUAUUGAAGACUAACUACUGCGAAAGCAUUUGCCAAGGAUGUUUUCAUUAAUCAAGAACGAAAGUUAGGGGAUCGAAGACGAUCAGAUACCGUCGUAGUCUUAACCAUAAACUAUGCCGACUAGGGAUCGGAUGAUGUUAAUUUUUAAUGACUCAUUCGGCGCCUUAC
rnacentral:rRNA from 1 species